UCGCGGACGCCCGUUUGGCCGGCAGACACCGCGAGUGCGAGAGUUCCGCGGUUCCCGGGAACACAUAAUCAACGCGUACCGCUGUUUGCGGACCUCGUGGAAAUCCCGUUCACCGGUCGGUUCUAAUCCCGGCGGGAUAACAAUUUCAUUAUCGUUUAGUGAAAAACGCGAAAACAAAGUAUUGCGAUCUAUACGUACAAGACGGAUUGUUCUGAGGCCGAAAAUAAUCACGCGUGUGAAUAUUGAACGCGCAUGCGUACCCCGAAUUUCGUAAUUUAUUUGUUUUUCAUCUAAUGAGUAUUCUUCGUGUUAAAAUUGUUUUUAUUUAGCAUAUGGAAUAUAGGAUAUUUAAUUACGAAACGAUAUUUUAUCGUGAAAUAAUAAUUUGACAUUAUAUUUUAUGUGUACCUAACGUGUCUAUCUAAAAAAAACUGUUUCUUCCACGCAUUUUUUAUUUGAUCUAGAACGAAUGGUAUUUUAAUAAUAAAACAAACAAAACGCUUUUUAAGUUUUACAAACUGAACCGUUUAAAAACCAUAACUGAUAAUGAAAUGUUUAUCUUGUUGGGAUUAGAGCCAAUCGGAGAACGGGAUUUCCAUAGGGUUCUCUAACAAUGUACGUUUUGCUCAUAUGUUUCCCGGGAGGUAGCUGAGUUCGAGUCGGUGGAAAAGUCACCGCGAAUUGUUGAUCGAACGUAAUCGGCCCGGUUACAAUAUACGAUUGAGAACGUUCGACCUUUUUUAGCGUACCGUUGAGAAGUUCGAAAUGGAACACAAUAUCCAUUUGGUCCGAAAAUUAGACUCUUCACAAACGUGACCAGACGUCAGUCAGUCAAUGUGACCCCUGACCGCUCAAUGUGAUAGCACAACUAUUUGCAGGGGCCGUGAUUAUAAUUUACCAACACUCUGAACUUCUAUACUAUUAUUUAUAGGUAGUUUGAUGUGUAAACGCCUCGCCUGGAUUAUCAUUGUUAAUGGAUUCAGUAAUAUGCUAUCUCAAACAACAAUAGGUAAUCUCAUUAAACUCGAUUACGCUGUGAGAAACACAAGUCAAAAUAUAAAUAUUUUUCAUUACUGUUAAAUUUUCAGAUUACUUGUCAUAUUUGGCAACGGUGCGUAGCAUAACAUUAAAAAAAACUGAACGUUCUCAAACGUAUAGUAGUAAAAAUAAGGGGGUCCAAAAAUGGUAACGGCGAUAAUCACCGUUCUCAAUCGUAUUUCUGCCGUCGGCCGUCACGAGUUUCAAAUAAUAUAAUAGUAAUUGAUUUUUAAAUUUGUUUUAUUAUUUAUAUUGUGUACCGGAUGGUAAUACCGCCAUUUAUAAUUUUUGAGACAAAUUACGCCUCCAAAACGAUAAUUGUGAUCGUCCUCGCGUGACGAUUUCCACACGUGAUUUUGUAAUAAUAUUAUUUAAUUGUUUUAUUUUCUGUAAAUAUUGAUAAUUCAUAGUGAU